rnacentral:rRNA from 1 species
GAUGAACGCUGGCGGCGUGCCUAAUACAUGCAAGUCGAGCGAACGGACGCGAAGCUUGCUGCUCGGAUGUGAGCGGAGGACGGGAGAGAAACACGUGGAUAACCUACCUAUCAUACUGGGAUAACUUCGGGAAACCGGAGCUAAUACCGGAUGAUAUUUUGAUCCGCAUGGUGCAAUAGUGAAAGACGGUCUUGCUGGCACGUAUAGAUGGAUCCGCGCUGCAUUAGCUAGUUGGUAAGGUAACGGCUUACCAAGGCAACGAUGCAUAGCCGACCUGAGAGAGGGGUCGGCCACACUGGAACUGAGACACGGUCCAGACUCCUACGGGACGCAGCAGUAUGGAAUCGUCCGCAAUGGGCGAAAGCCUGGCGGAGCAACGGCGCGUGAGUGAUGACAGUCUUCGGAUCGUAAAGCCCUGUUAUUAGGGAAGAACCUAUGUGUAAGUAGCCGUGCACAGCUUGACGGUACCUAAUCAGAAAGCCCCGGCUAACUACGUG